rnacentral:rRNA from 1 species
GUAGGUGGCAAGCGUUGUCCGGAAUUAUUGGGCGUAAAGCGCGCGCAGGCGGUUCCUUAAGUCUGAUGUGAAAGCCCACGGCUCAACCGUGGAGGGUCAUUGGAAACUGGAGAACUUGAGUACAGAAGAGGAAAGCGGAAUUCCACGUGUAGCGGUGAAAUGCGUAGAGAUGUGGAGGAACACCAGUGGCGAAGGCGGCUUUCUGGUCUGUAACUGACGCUGAGGCGCGAAAGCGUGGGGAGCAAACAGGGAUUAGAUACCCUGGUAGUCCACGCCGUAAACGAUGAGUGCUAAGUGUUAGGGGGGUUUCCGCCCCCUUAGUGCUGCAGCUAACGCAUUAAGCACUCCGCCUGGGGAGUACGGCCGCAAGGCUG